AGUGAACGUUGGCGGCGUGCCUAACACAUGCAAGUCGAACGAGAACCGAGUAGCUUGCUACUCGGGGAAAGUGGCGAACGGGUGAGUAACACGUGAGCAAUCUGCCCUCGAGUGAGGAAUAACCCCGCGAAAGCGGGGCUAAUACCGCAUGAUGCUCUGGAGCAUAAGCUUUCAGAGUUAAAGCCCCUCGGGGCGCUUGAGGAUGAGCUUGCGUCCUAUUAGCUUGUUGGUAGGGUAACGGCCUACCAAGGUUAUGAUGGGUAGCCGGCCUGAGAGGGUGUCCGGCCACACUGGAACUGGGACACGGUCCAGACUCCUACGGGAGGCAGCAGUGGGGAAUUUUGCGCAAUGGGCGAAAGCCUGACGCAGCGACGCCGCGUGGAGGAUGAAGGCUUUCGGGUUGUAAACUCCUGUCAGAGGUGAAGAAAACCCCCUUCGGGGGGCUUGACGGUAACCUCAGAGGAAGCCCCGGCUAACUACGUG
rnacentral:rRNA from 1 species